rnacentral:lncRNA from 1 species
UAUUCCGGUUUCUGGCCAUAACCGGACUCAUAUUCGGGUUUUCGUCCAUACGCUGAUCCUCCAUACUCGGACUCAGUCCUACCACCAAAUCCGGAUUCACCCGACUCCGGUCUCCGCCCAUAUCCAGAGCCAUGCACCUCGGAAUCAGGUUUCCUGCCGUGCCCAGAUCCAUAUUCCUCCGACUCGGGUCUCUUUCCGUACCCAGAUCCAUAUUCCUGCGAAUCAGGCCUCUUCGCAUACCCAGAAGCAUAUUCAGAUUCGGGCCUCCCCGACCCAUAAGGUUCGGGCCUUCCCAUUCCAGGCUGAAACCCAUAAGCCGGCUGCGGCUGGGGCCUUCCUCCAUAACCCGACCCAUCCCCUGACCCGGGUACGAAACC